CCUAUUUCGUUUCGGUUAAACCUACCCAAACCCUAAAACUCCUCCUUCCAUCGCAGCAUUUGAAUGUCAGAAGAUCCCCCUUUUCUAUUCAUUUUUCCUGUCAAUAAUAUGUAUGUGUUGUUUGCUGGAUAUUCCACGUUUGCUGCAAACAAUUUCCUCAGGGUAGCAUUGGGUCAGGUUUGGUAAUCGGGGUUUUUGUUCAAGGAGUUUUCUUUUCAAUGUAUGAAUCUGGUUCAUCCAUCAAAGGGGUAUACUUCUCAUUUGGGAAGAUAAUCGAUUAUCUCGCAGUCAAUCAAGAUCAAAGAUGGAAAGAAACUUCGUGAACAGAGUAAUGGUUCCUCAAGCCCUUUAAUUUUUUUGAAUCAGACAUAUGAAGCCAAGAAAUCUUCCCAAAUGAUAAUGACGACUUCUGUGACACCAUAGGGACUUCACGAGAGUACCUAGCAAAGCUGCUUUUCUGGGUGAGAGAAUGGUUGCACAUGACCCGACUCAAAAGCAAAUGAGCACGAAGAAAAAGGAGCAUAGAGUAAAUUAGGCAGAGUAUGAGAAACAGUUGGGCUGUGAGUAAAAUGCCAUGCUGAGCCACUGGUCAUCCAUCCUAUGGGGAGCCACCAGAUGUUGGCUUUGCUAGGACAUGGAGCUGGAGCGCCUGCUGAAAUUGUUGUGGAAGGGGUUGUUGGGUCUCAGCCAAUUUUACAAUAACUUCUUUAGCACACACUUUAGUCAAUUUACUUGAAUUUUUUUCAGGUUGCAUAGCGGCUGCAGUUAAUGAAAAGAACAUGGGUUUUUUGCGCUUUUGAUAAGUGAAACGUUAACUAUUACCGGUUUGUACAUCCAACCAAGUGAUGGUUUCUAGAGAAAAUUAAAUAUAUAUAUGAAACUUCAAACAUGCUUCUGAAUUGAAGAAAGUGGAGAGAGCUCUAUAUGUGGGGAAAGAAUUUUAGUGAUCAACUUGGAAGGAGUAAGAUGCUUAUCUUUGGUUCUUUUAUUAAUUUUAUGCUAUUUGUGGUUACAUGUGUUUGGGAUGACUAUUUAUGACUUCUUUUGAUUCCAUUCUUCAUAUUCUAUCACAUAUUUGAUCUUAAUCGCACAUUGACGGCUAGCGAAAGUGAAGAUAAAAGUGGCGGUAAGAGGUGUUAUAUCCUUGGUUGUACUAAAAGCGUGCGAGGCAGAAACAAUUGAUGCGUAAAACACGAUGGCAGGAAGCGGUAUAAAUUCGAAAACUGUUCCACGUUUGCUCAUGAACAGCUUUGACAACAUAUACUCUUCACAACGAGUCAACAAUGUUUCUGACUCCAUGGAUUCACUUAAAAAGUCGGGUAAACAGCAACACUUGAUCCCACCACAAGUACUGGUUCCACCGUCGAUGAAACACCGGUUUUCACAAUCAUUUACAAUGCAGUUGGGGUCAGAUCACGAUGGAAACAGAAAUGAAAAUGGCAAAAAUAGGAAGAGCUUGGUGAGUUUCCUGUCAAUUUUGCACAAUAUAGUUUCAUUUGUUUUUAUGAGUUUGAUUACAAAUUUGUUACGGACCAGCUAUGUCCUUCUAAUUGUGUAUCUUAGUUUUCUGAUAAUUACCCCAAUGUGGCUUGUGAGUUUCCUAUUGCUAUAGUGGGUUAUUGGAUUAAUAUAUGGACGGUGGACCCAUAUCUCUUGCUAUGUCUUGUAACAAUCCUACUCAUGAUAUCAUAUGACAAUAUUUUGUUA